rnacentral:rRNA from 1 species
GUGGUUCUUGAGUGAAGUAGAGGUAAGCGGAAUUCCUAGUGUAGCGGUGAAAUGUGUAGAUAUUAGGAGGAACAUCAGUGGUGAGGGGGGCUUACUGGGCUUUAACUGACGCUGAGGCUCGACAGCGUGGGGAGCAAACAGGAUUAGAUACCCUGGUAGUCCACGCCGUAAACGAUGAUUACUAGGUGUGGGGGGACUGACCCCUUCCGUGCCGCAGCAAACGCAAUAAGUAAUCCACCUGGGGAGUACGACCGCAAGGUUGAAACUCAAAGGAAUUGACGGGGGCCCGCACUAGCAGUGGAGUAUGUGGAUUAAUUCGAAGCAACGCGAAGAACCUUACCAGGUCUUGACAUCGUAUGCAUAGCUCAGAGAUGAGUGAAAUCUUUUGGGAGACAUAUAGACAGGUGGUGCAUGGUUGUCGUCAGCUCGUGUCGUGAGAUGUUGGGUUAAGUCCCGCAACGAGCGCAACCCUUACUGUUAGUUGCUACGCAAGAGCACUCUAGCAGGACUGCCGUUGACAAAACGGAGGAAGGUGGGGAUGACGUCAAAUCAUCAUGCCCCUUAUGACAUGGGCCUCACACGUACUACAAUGGUUGUCAACAGAGGGAUGCAAAGCCGCGAGGUGGAGCGAACCCCUAAAAGCAGUCUUAGUUCGGAUUGUAGGCUGCAACCCGCCUACAUGAAGUCGGAAUUGCUAGUAAUCGCAGAUCAGCAUGCUGCGGUGAAUACGUUCCCGGGCCUUGUACACACCGCCCGUCACGCCAUGGGAGUCGGUAACACCCGAAGCC